ensembl:lncRNA
CCAAGAGUGACUCACCCAGUGAAGACCAGAGUACUUAUUGUUCCAAGUGUCAAAAUCUGCAGAACUGCCUCCAGGAUUUGGGUCUCAUCCAGCUUCAAUGAACGAAACAUUCCAGCAUCUUCCUCCAGUACCUGUGAAUGCUGCAUUGUCUUCUCCCUGUGGCUUUUGUUUUUGAAAGCUCAUAAAGAGGAACCCAGGAAGUCAGGAGACAGCAGGGUGACCAUUUCCGUCCCCAGAACAGCCUUCAGCCAGUUUCUACAUGCCUCUUGCCAGGGACCAAACUGGCACCUAGGCUGCCCCGGAGGACGCAGAAAACCAGGACCCGGCUGGGGGCUGAAAUGUACUCCAUUGAAGAAUCCUCUGGCCUCCUCAGCACUGGAAGGACCAGCCAGCGGCAGUGAGAGUUUAUCAUUUGGAGGGAGCAUCUGCAUCCUCAGUAGUACUGGAGAGUCACAUCCAGGCUCAGUCCCAGAGCCCGAGUCCUGAUUGGUCCAAGAUGUUGAUGCCCCUAGCCAGAGAUUGGGCUGCUCGUGAUCACGUGGCAAAAUCUGGCCAAUGGCAGGUGAAGGUGAAGAAGGGUGUCAGAGGUCAGCUCAUCCAGUCCCAACCUGCAGACACCCAGUCCUUGACUUUUUCCCAACACACCGAUCCCAGUUUAAACAUCACCUCCUCCAAGAAGCCUUCUGAGAUCAACUUUUAGAAAGCAGCUCCUCCCUGUCCAUGCCAGAGAGUUUCAGUCUUAUCCCCUCUGCCAAACUGCCUGACACUCUGCUUUUAACUUACCUUUGUCCCUUCUUGGUUAUUUUCCUUUUUGGAUCUCUCUACCUUUUUGGAUUCUCUACUAGAAUAUAUACUCCACGAAGCAUCAGAUUUUUGUCUAUCUUGUCCUUUGCUAGAUUUCGUAGAGUUUAACAUGGGACCUGCUAUGUAUUAGGUGCUCAGUUAAAUAUAUGUUUAUGGUUUAUGUCAAAUGAAGAAGUGAGUGGAUAUUUCACAGCUGUGGAAGUGAUCUGGGAUAUCAGAAAAUCCUGAAGAACCAAGAAAGAGGCUGAACCAAGAAACAUGCACUUUUUCCUUCAACUGCCUGUAUCUAGGUUGCCCUCAUGCUCACAUGCAAAGCCCCCAGAUUCAGCCCUCUUUGGUCUGCUUCCCAAAUUGACUUCUCCACCCCUAUACCACCUCCUCCAUCUUGUUCCUACCAGAUCUGUGAGGCCACCUGAAUAACAAAAAUGAC